UAGAGUGGGCCAUUGCAGAGCUCAUUCGCCACCCUGAAAUGAUGGCCCAAGCCCAACAAGAGCUGGACGCAGUGGUGGGCCGAAGCAGGCUUGUAACUGAUUUGGACCUGCCCCAACUCACCUAUGUCCAAGCCAUAAUCAAGGAAACCUUCCGCCUGCACCCAUCCACGCCCCUCUCCCUCCCUCGGAUGGCGGCGGAGAGCUGUGAGAUCAACGGCUACCACAUCCCCAAAAACGCCACUCUUCUAGUGAACGUGUGGGCCAUAGCGCGGGACCCAGAGGUGUGGGAGGAGCCACUAGAAUUCAGGCCCAACAGGUUCCUCCCAGGAGGGGAAAGACCAAAUGCGGACGUGAGAGGGAAUGAUUUUGAAGUGAUUCCAUUCGGGGCUGGCCGGAGAAUAUGCGCGGGGAUGAGCUUGGGACUGAGGAUGGUGCACCUGUUAACCGCGACGCUUGUUCAUGCGUUCAACUGGGAGUUGCCGGAAGGCCAGGUGGCGGAGAAGCUGAACAUGGAUGAGGCAUAUGGGCUGACCCUACAACGAGCCGCCCCACUCAUGGUGCACCCACGGCCAAGGCUGUCACCCCAAGUUUUCGGGAAGUAAAUGAGGUUGUUUGCCCAUGAUUAAAAUAGAAGACUUGGUGAUGGAUUUGGCUGAAUAAUUAUGAUGUUCGAGAGCGAGUUUAGUAGUUUUGUGAUGGGUUUUCCCUCAACCACCUGCAUGUUAAUACUGUAAACGAUGAUUCUCAAGGGGUAUCUAAUAAUGCAAUAUGUUGGUUUAAAAUUUAAAAUAUUUACUUCACAAUAUCGAGCGUAGGAGAAGAAACUAGAAAGUCAUAUGAUGAAUAAUGUCCCCAAAACUCAAACAGAGAUCAUCACAAUCUAAAGAGUCGUGCAAGGCGGCGAGUGUACCAACUACCAAUAAAAGCACGAAAGCUGAACAAGGAGUAGCUUCAUCUGUCAUCUGACCAACCAGCCUCCUCACAAAAUACCAUAUUCCAAGUCAAAGGUAGUAUAUAUGAUUUAUUGGACGAGAAGUUGAGGCUCCAAACAUCUUUAAUACAGCACCUUUCAAACAAGAUACUUGAAAAUGUACAAAAUCACCUCAUCUCGAAACCAGGAUUAUAAAAGAAGACGACCUCCCGGACCUAUCAGAUGACCUGAUCGUACAAAAUCACCUCAUCCCGAAACCAAGACUAUAAAAGAAGACGACAUCCCGUACCUAUAAUAUGACCUAAUUGACCGACAUGUGUCUAAAAAGACGAGUCCAAUUACCCUUAUCCCCUUUAUCCUUAUAUGCACAAAAGUCAAUAAAGCCUACCGUAAAAAGUGUGCUGAAACAACUCCUUCAUAAAGAAAGUAACUUUAAAAGAGAAGUCUCUUCCUCCUUAAGGGCUCUCUCUCUCUCUCUCCAUCUUAAAGAAGAGAAAAUGUAUCUUUGUAUCCAAAAUGAUUGAAUAAAAUAUCUAAUAUGUUUCUUGAAGAAUUUUAGCAUAUUGAAGAAGUAUCAUAACUCCUAAUAGAUUUAAUUAUCACUAAAAUUAUUGAAAUAAAACCUCUAGAUGUGUUGUGAUCAUGAAUGCUUAAAUACAGUAAUUUUUAUUUAUUUUUAAAAUAAAUAAUAAAUUAAUUAAUUUAAUCUUAUAUAUUCUCUAGAUCAUGUGGUAUCUUUUAAUUUUUUAAUAUUAAUUUUUUUACAAAUUAAUUAUCAAAUUUAUAAAAACCCCAUGAAUAAUUGACUAAAUCGAUUCUUCCCUAACUUUCAAUAUCUUUCAUAAAUAGGUAAUUUUUUAAAAUAUUAAAGAGUAGCGUGGAAACUAAUUAUUAAUCUAAUUACGAUAUUAAAUAAAUAAAAAUUAGAUAUUUUUGAAAUUCAUGUACUAUAUAGUUAUUUUUUCAUAAAUAAAUUCUUAUUUGUAAUUAAUAAUUUACAUUAAUAAAAAUUUAUAACAUUACUUAUAUCAUCGUAAUAAAUUUAAAAAAUGUGGACUUUGUUGAGGCCUCGCGUCCGUGGUAAUCCAUGUAGUUGCCAAAUGGAUGGACGCACGAUCUCAACCAAUAUAGAUUUCUGGUUUAGUCGUUCCUGCAAAAGGCGUCUGGACAGGGUGUCUGGAUACACCCUCCGAUGGUAUUGUCAGCCAUGGUCCAAGAGAUAAAUCAGUUGGCCUUUUACUAGGUAUAUCAAAACUUACCUUCCUCUUUGUGCGAAGGUCCAUAUAUAUCGUCUCAGAAGCUCUAUCUCCCUCUUUAAUGAUAGAGAGAUAUUUUGGCUUGUCAUGAUGUCUCUAGGUGGUGACAGGGUCAUCAUCACUCGUAGGGCGGCUGACAAAGAUCGUGGGAGGCGCCGCAGCUGUCAGAGAUCGUAGGAAGUGACUUGCCAUCAUUCCUGUCCUUUCACUCUGCAGGUGGCGGAACGUGGGCCGUGAAAGACUGUCGGAAUGACGUAGUAAGACUUGCUUACUUUAGUCAACGAUCCGGACAAACAUAUCCGGAUAGGAUAUGUCAGUCGUUCGGAUGUGAUAUGACGAUCGUCCGGAUGUGAUGUUUGCGAGUGUCAUGUGCUUCUCCCUGAGGAAGUCCGGAUAUGAGAAGCGCGUCACGUGUCUCCUUUGGGGGAAAUCCGGAUGGAGCUAAUCCGGAUAGAAAUGUGUGCCACUUGUCAUCAGGGGGAGGGGUCCCUACAGACUUGUCGUUCAUUUCUUUCUCUCUCAAUAUAUUAUUAAAUACAUAAAUUAAUAAUAUUUAUUAAAAUGAUAUUUGCAAGUUGGGGGUGGGAUGAGAACUAUUAAAUACAUAAAUUAAUAAUAUUUAUUAAAAUGAUAUUUGCAAGUAGGGGAUGGGAUGAGAACUCGUGUUGGGAUUUUUGAUCCUAAACGUCUAAUUGAAGGGAUUUUGAAAAAAAAUAUUUAUUAAAGUAUAUCAAUUUUAAAACCAUUUUCAAAUCUACUAUAUUUUUUAUAAUAUCAAUUAAAAAUUAUCUUUUUAUAAAACACCAACUUUAAAUCAAAUAUGAAAAUUAUUUUGUGAAAAAUUAAUUUUAAAAUUCAACUAAGUUUUCUCUUCAGAAAACAACUUUUACUUUAAGUUUUUGAAAGUACUAUACAUUUGGAAGUAGUUUCAAAAGUGUGAUAUUUUAAUAAAUAUUUUUUAAAAUUGCAAUAUUUUUUUCAAAAUCUUGACACUUAAGAUAGAGUGGGCAAGCAUGGGAAAAAAAUUUACAUACACUCAAAUUUAUGUCUUAGACUAGGAACUGAAAAAUUGUGGGGCAUAUGGAUAAUACAAAAACAAUUAUCUUACUUAGAGUUACUUAUUAUUACUUAUUAUUACUUAUGCAUUAAUUAAAAGGAAAGUGUUAAGGUAUCCAAAUGCUACAUAUAGAACUUCAAAUUCGGACUAAAUUGAAUAUAUAUAUAUAUAAUGAUAUUUAAGUAAUGAAAAUUCAAACAACUAGGAUUAUGGUAUAAGAAUAGGAAUAAAUGAGAUUAUGAUACAAAUAAUAACAUUUGAAAAUGUAUACCUAAGAUCAUUUUAUUGAGUUUUUUCAUACAUUUAUUUGAGCUUAGGAUUGCAGAUGGUGCAUGUUGGGAAGUGUCACAAAUUCCUAAUUAGUAAAGAUUGAGAGAUAUUCAAUGGAACGAGAUGACUCGUGGUUCAAGGUGUAAAUAUAAAGAGUGAAAAUAUAUUUUGAGAACCUAAUAAUUAUAUUUGGUUUUGUCCUCUAUAAUGUUCUCUGUGAUAUAAUGAAAAGAUUUUCUCUCGUCCGUGAAUAUAGGUAUGAUUGAUCAAAUCACGUUAAAACCUCAUUGUAGCCUACUCUCUACGGUGAAUGGUUUGUUUUUGUUUUUUGUUUUUAUUUAUUUAUUUAUUAUUUUGUUCUUCUGACCACCCGGAAUCAUUAAAACCUCGUUGUAGCGCCCCUGCCUCCUGUGAAAGGGUUUGUUUUUGUUUCUAUUUUUUUUUUUUUUUUUUUUGUUAUUCUGAUCACCUCGGAAUUAAGCUGAUGGGGCGACCAAAUACGAAAGGGGAGAGAGAGAGGGAGUUUUGGGCAAACAUGAUUCCGAAAUUCACGGAAUCAUUAUUCUUAUUUUAAAGUCUUGGGCGACGGUGAAUAACUUUUUAAAAUUUCCUAAAAUUUUAAAGUCUCAAAUUUAUUUAUUUAUUUUAAAAAUACCAUUCUCAAAAUAAUUUUCUAAAAUUUGAUUUUAAAAAUUUAGUUUUCAAAACUUUAAUUCUCGAAAUUCACUCUUCUAAAACUCCAUUUUUUAAAAUUUAAUCAUUUAAAAUUCAAUUCUUGAAAUAAUUUUCUAGAAUUCUAAUUUUAAAUUUAAUUUUCCAAGAUUCAAAUUUUUAAAAUUUAAUUUUCCGAAAUUUCCACAAUCCCGAAUUUAAUUUUUUAUUUUUUAUUUUUUUAUGUCACAUUCAAAUAAAUUUUCGAAACUCCAAUUCCUUUUUAUUCAUUUACUUAUUGAUUUUUAAAAUUCCAUCUUUUAAAUAACUCUUCAAAAUUCUGUUUUUAAAAUUUAAUUCCAAUUUCCAAAAUUCCAAUUUUCGUAUCAAUUUAUUUAAUCAUUAUCACUUUAUUCAUUCAUUUAUUUGUUUAUUUUUUUAAAAUUCAAUUUUUAAAUAACUCUUCAAAAUUUCAUUUUUUAAAAUUUAAUUCCAAUUUCCGAAAUUCCAAUUUUCGUAUCAAUUUAUUUAAUCAUUAUCACUUUAUUCGUUUAUUCAUUUGUUUAUCUUUAAAAUUCAAUCUUUAACUCUUCAAAAUUUCGAUUUCUGAAUUUAAUUCAAAUUUCCAAAAUUCUAGUUUUCUUAUCGAUUUAUUUAAUCACUAUCAUUUUAUUCAUUUAUUUAUUUGUCUAUUUUUAUCAAAAUUCAGAUUUCCAAAUUAAGUUUCCAAUUUCCAAAAUUCCAUUUUUUUCAUUUACUUAAUCAUCAUUAUUUUCAUUAUUAUCAUUAUUCUAUUUAUUUAUUUCAAAAAUUCCUUCUUCAAAUGAUUCCAAUCUUAUGACUUUCGAAUUUAAUUUCUAAUCUAAAAAAUUUCAAUAUUUAUGUACGUUUUUCCCAAAACCCCAAUUUCCGAACUUAAUUUUCCAAAUUCCAAAAUUCUAAUUUCCUUCAAAUUUACUCUCCAAAAUUCUGAUCAUUAAAUUUAAUUCCCAAGACUCUAACUCCCAAAUAAAUUUCAAAAGUCCAGUUUUCACUCGAACGGUUUUGAUUCCACUCUAGUUUUCAAAUAAUCUUCUUUUUCUUUUGAUUUUAUAUAAGCGUGAAUGCAAUUUUCAUAAUUCCAAAAUAAUGGAAUUUGUGAUAUUAAUUCAUGCAAGAUUAAUCGGGCUUUGGUAGGGGCCCACAUAUGAGUUUUCUCUUCUGAUUGUAAAUUGUUAUGCUUGAUGAGUAUUGUUUGAUCUUUGUCUUGCUCUUUGAUAUGCAUGUGAUGAUUUUAUAUCUGAGCUAACCUUGUUUCCAUGAUAAUGCACUAUUACCUGCUGUCAAGAUACGCUCCCACUCCCGCUUUGCUUACUCUUAUGCGCGAUUCGUUUUAUUAUUUGAUCAUUUCAUUAAUAUCCAUUGACUUCCUUAUCAAUUGCCACACUUCCUUCACCUUAUUUAGUAGAGAUCCGAAUUUAGGGACUUAGAGGGGUGCUGCGGUCCUUAUCAUACCUUCCCGAUAAGUAACCUGACCCCCGAGCCUAAUCCGGUUUUUCACAGACCACCUUUUUCGAAAUAAUGAGUCACACUUAGGGUUUUAUUUCUUAUUUUAUUUACCCUUUAAAAAUAAAACAAAAAUAAGUAGUGACUCCAAGUCCUUUUUUAAUCAAUAAAUCAUUUUUUAAAAAUAAAAAUUGAACUCGCCAUCGAGUGGAAGCGCAUGAGCCGAAAUGCGGGGUCCACACUUACGUAAUCUAACAUUAUUUAUAUUAAAGCUUUUGUUAACGCAACAAACUAGUCUUCAAAUUGAUGAAUGGGGUUUUUUUUUUUUUUUUUUCNNNNNNNNNNNNNNNNNNNNNNNNNNNNNNNNNNNNNNNNNNNNNNNNNNNNNNNNNNNNNNNNNNNNNNNNNNNNNNNNNNNNNNNNNNNNNNNNNNNNNNNNNGGGGUUUUUUUUUUUUUUUUUUCUCAUUCAUACUGUGGACCCCGCAUUUCGGCUCAUGCGUUUCCCACUCGAUGGCAAGCUCGAUUUUUAUUUGAAAUUUUGAUUUUUAUUUGAUAAAGAAAAAUGACUUGGAGUCGCCACUUAUUUUUCUUUUAUUUUUAAAAAGGUAAACAAAAUAAGAAAGAAAAACCCUAAGUGUGACUCCUUAUUUUGGAAAAGGUGAUCUACGAAAUAUCGGAUUGGGUUCGGGGGUCAGGUUACUUAUCGGGAAGGUACGGUAUAAACCGUAGCACCCCUCUAAGUCCCUAGAGUCGGGUCUUUACUAAUACAAUGAAACUGACGUGGCAAUCAACGAGAAAGUCAAUGGAUACACACCUAAAUUAUACACAAUAUGGGAAUCAAAACACGCAAUAGAGAUUGACUAGAAUGAGAGUGGAUGCGUACCUCGACCACAAGCCACAAUGCGCUAUCAAGAAACGGGAUUAGUGCACAAUUAAGGAACACAAAAAAUAGCUCAUGCAUAUCGGAGUGCAAAACGAAGCUCAAGCAAAAUACAUUAAGAGCCCGUUUGGCAGUGAUUUUUAAAAGUGUUUCUACCCUUAAAAACACUUUUAAGUGUUUUUGGGAUGAAAAUAAAGUGUUUGGCAAAUUUUAAAAAACACUUUUGAAAAUCUGGAAAAACACUUGAAGUGAUUUUUAGAGAAUCACUUGAUAGGUGUUUUUUUAAAAAAAACACUUCAAUUUUUUUGAAAUAUUCCAAAAAUGCCCCCCAGUGAUAAAUCAAUUAGAAAAAUCUUUUUUUUUUUUCCAGAAAUUAAUAGGUGGUCAUAUAUUGUUUUACUUUUAAAAUUAUCUUUUAUUCAAUGUUCUUUUUUUUUUUUUAUUGAUUUAGAUGUUUUUUGUAAAUAUUUUUUAAAAUUUUAGUAUAGUGAUAAAAAAAUUAUUAUUUUUAAUUAGAAAAGUCUUUUUUUUUUUUUAGAAAUUAAUAGGUAAUCAUAUAUUGUUUUAAUUUUAAAAUUAUCUUUUAUUCAAUGUUAUUUUUUUAGUGAUUUAGAUGUUUUUUCAUUAAUAAAAAGUUUUUUUUGUUUAUCAUACCAUUUUUUUUUAAUUAAAAUUGUAUGUCCUUUUUGGUAAUUUAUUAAUAUUAAAAGUGUUUUUAUAUUUAUACAAUAUAUUAUCAAAAACACUUUAGAAUCAUUUUUUCUGAUUAUCAUAAAAGUGUUUUUCACAGAAACACUAUAACAGAAAACACUUCAAAUAAAAACACUUCCACUAGAAUCACUACCAAACGGGCUCUAAGUACGACAAUUGACAAUAAAAAAAGGAUCACACAUAGGGCCCCCACCAAAGCCCAAUUUAUUACUCAUGAACUAGUCUCACAAAUUCCGUGUUUUAGAAUUAUGAAGAAUUUAUUAUUGUUUAUGUAGAAUCAAGAAGAUCAGAAGAUUAUUUAAGAACCGGAAUAGAAUUAAAACUAUUCAAGUGAAAACUGGAUUUUUGGAAUUUACUUGAAAAUUGGAGUAUUGGGAAUUGAAUUUAAAAUAUUAGAGCUUCGGUAAUUAAAAUGAAAUUUGCCAAAGAAGAUGAGAAAUGAACUUUAGGAAAUUGAUUUGCGAGAAUAUGGGUUUUGAAAGUUGAAUUUGUAAUAAUAAUAAUAAUAAGGAGUGAACUUUAGGAAAUUGAACUGCGAGAAUAUAGAUUUUUAAUAAUAAUAAUAAUAAAAAAAAAUAAACUUUAGGAAAUUAAAUUGCGAAGAUAUAGAUUUUUAUUAAUAAGUAUAAUAAUAAUGAUAAUAAUAAUAUUAGGAAAUUGAACUGAGCGAGAGUAUAGAUUUUUAAUAAUAAUGCUAAUAAUAAUGCUAAUAAUAAUAAUAAUAAUAAUAAUAAUAAUAAUAAUAACCAUAAUAAUGAUAAUAAUAACAAUGAGGUUUUGGAAUAAUAAUAAUAAUGAUAACAAGAUUUUGAAAGUUGAAUUAAUAAUAAUAAUAAGAAUAAUAUUUUAAAAGUUGAAUUAAGAAUAAUAAUAACAAUAAUAUUUUAAAAGUUGAAUUAAUAAUAAUAAUAAGAUUUUAAAAGUUGAAUUAAUAAUAAUAAUAAUAAUAAUAAUAAUAAUAAUAAUCAUAAUAAUAAUAAGAAUAAUAAGAUUUUUAAAUAAUAAUAAUAAUAAGGUUUUGAAAGUUGAAUUAAUAAUAAUAAUAAUAAUAAUAUUUUAAACGUCGGAUUAAUAAUAAUAAUAAUAAUAAGAUUUUAAAAGUUGAAUUAAUAAUAAUAAUAAUCAUAAUAAUAAUAAUAAUAAUAAUAAGAUUUUGAAAUAAUAAUAAUAAUAAUAAGGUUUUGAAAGUUGAAUUAAUAAUAAUAAUGAUAUUUUAAAAGUUGAAUUAAUAAUAAUAAUAAUAAUAAUAAUAAUAAUAAUAUUUUAAACGUCGGAUUAAUAAUAAUAAUAAUAAUAUGGACUUCAAAAAAAUGGGCCUUAAUAAUGAUAAUAAUAGGCCUUGGACCUCAAAAAAAGGGCCUUGGGAAUGAAUAGUACAGGGGGCAUGAGGCCCUUCAUUAACGCGACUAGGCUUGGGCUUCCCCACCAGGCCCAUAUCCAUCAUCUUGGACAGGCCCCAAGCUCUAACUCCAUCACAUGCUUGGAUUGGGCCCCAACUCAAGCCCAAAUUAAAAGCAAACCCAAGAACACCAAAUUCUCUCACAGCCCACAUCUCCAACCUCCGCCUGGGCAUCACCAUCUAAAUACUCUGUGUCCUCGAGCUCACCGUCAACCUCAUCGCCUUCUUCAUCGGAACCCCACAUCUCAUCAUCCUCUUUCAAGGUUCGCCGCCCACGCGCACUCACACGCGCUUGCUCUGGUUGCCGAAGCCAAGGGUUGAACCAGUCUUGGACAGCCGCAAUAACGUCAGUGCGCGGGCAUCUGCUCAGUUCUCAUGUUAGACGAAGGAGAUGGGCCUUCCGAUCAGGGUUGAGGAGAAAAAGGGAGGAAGCGAUCCUGCUCGUUGGAGCAAUGCGCCAGGUGACCAUGGAGAUCGGUGGAGAAGUUACUCCUAGCCUCUGAGACGAGCAAUGGAGGAGGAGAAGCUCCACUGCCGCCAUUGAUUCAGCUGACUGGGCAAGCUUGAGGAGGCGGGUAUGAAGGAUGGCGGCCAUACAUGGCUAUGCGUGGCCACGUGAGAACGAGAGGAAUGAGUGCAAUGGACAAGGAAAAUGGGUUUGGAUAAGUUUAGAGAUAUGAUAUGCAUGGGCUGCUAGAGAGGAAUAUGAUGGAUGAACAUGGAGUAUACUAUGGAUGGGAAGGUAGGGAUGACUAUGCGCAUGGAGCUCCAUGCACACGAGAAGACAGAGAAUCAAAGGGUUAGUAUAGAUAGCAUGGGAUCUCAGACUUCAAUGUCUUCAAUAUUGCGUUCUCUGCAUCACUCCAAACAUGACGCUGGCUUUCAGGAUGGAGGCAAACAGAGCAAAGGAAAAAAAAAGCAAAACCAAGCAUGGAUAAUCGAAACAAAUGGAACCCAUAACAGCCUCAUGUUGUGCAUUAAUCCCUGGGCUUAGAUGGAGGUGGGUGAAAAUAAAGGAUCAUCAAACAAAACCAGAGCAUGGUUGCAGAUAUAUUAUGGGGAAAAACAAAGACGAAAUCACCUUAAGCAAGAACCAUUAAGAAGGGAUAUAUGGAUAUGCUUACCCUCAACACACAAACAUCACCCAAGAAUGGACAGAGAAAGAGAAGAGAACCAUACCUGUGAGUGAUCUUCUCUAACAAGAUCGAGCCAAAAACUCAGCAAAGCAUCCCUCUUUUCCCUUGCUUAGCUUUCCACCAUUCUCUCCUUUUCUUCCUUUCACUAUCUCCCAUCUCUCCCUCUUGUCCCGUCUUUUCCUCUCUGGCCCCCCACUUACUCCUCCUGCCACAGCCCCAAAGAAAAGAUAUAUUUAUUAUUAUUUUUUCUUUGCUGGCAGCUUCUCCUCCGAGCUAUCUCUCGCCGCCACCAGCAGCUCGCCUCAUCCCAUCCCAUGGCCGCCCGUUUCCCAGGUGGUCAGUAUAUAUAUAUAUAUAUAAACAAUCAGAUGUCUCUCAUGGGGGGUCUACACAUACUUUUAUUCAUUCAUGUAUAGAGUAUAUAUGAAGGAUAAUCACCAUUCUAAGAAUGGGAAAGAAUGAUACAAGGAAGGAAUGAUAUAAGGAAAUAAUGAUACAAGGAAAGGAAUAAUAUAAGGAAAUAAUGAUACAAGGAAAGCAUUCCUAAUAUCUCAACACUCCCCUCUUAAGGAAAAAAUGAUACAAGGAAAGUAUUCCUAAUAUCUCAACACUCCCCCUCAAGUUGGUGCAUAGAUGUCACACAUGCCCAACUUGUUUAAAAAUUUUGAGAACACUUGUCUUGAGAUAGCUUUGGUGAGGAUAUCAGCCAAUUGAUCUUCUGAUUUAAUCUUAGGCAAUUCCACAAUCUUAUCAUCCAACUUCUCCUUAAUGAAGAAUCUAUCCACCUCGACAUGCUUUGUAUGAUCAUGUUGUACUGGAUUAUGUGCAAUGUCACAUGCAACAUUAUUGUCAGAAAACAAUCGGAUUGGUUGCCUAGAUAGGUAACCUAAAUCCUGUAAGAGGAGUCUUAGCCAUAAUGCCUCACAAAGUCCUAAAGCCAUACCCCUAAAUUCUGCUUCUGCACUUGAAUGAGCAACGACAUUAUGCUUCUUACUUUCCAUGUCACAAGAUUACCACCUACAAAGAUAAAGUAACCAGAUGUAGACCGCAUAGCAUCCACUGUACCGACCCAAUCAGCAUCAGUAUAUACUUCUAUACUCUGAUGAUCAACAUUUUUAGCGAACAAAAUUCCCUUCCCAAGAGCAUUCUUCAAAUACCUCAAAAUACAUAUGAUUGCAUUCAUAUGUUGUUCUCCAGGAUUAUGCAUGUAUUGACUCACUAUACUCAGUGCAUAAGCAAGAUCUGGUCUGGUAUGAGCUAAGUACAUUAAUCUCCUUACAAGUCUUUGGUAUCUUCCUUUAUCGGUUGAUACUUGAUUAGGCUCAACACACAAUUUCAGACCUUUUUCUAUUGGUGUAUCCAAGGAUAGAAAUAUCGGUAAAUACGGAUAUAUCGGUACUUGGAUUUUACGGAUAUAUCGGAAAUAUCGGUGGAUUUUUCAUCAAAUAUCGGUGAGACAAAAAUUAUCCAAAAUUGAUGGGAAUGCUUAGAAAAAUCCAAAGAAUGAUAAAAUAAGCAAGAAUAUACAUGUUAAAGUUAUUUUAUAACUGUAAUUGACAUAAAUAUGGUCAAAGAAAAAAAUAUCGGUAAAUAGUUUACGAUACUUGGAUUUUAAGAAUAGAAAAUAUGAAAUUUGGAAUUGUACACUUAGAAAGUUAGAAUUGAGUUAAGAAAUAUUUGAUUUUAUUAAAUGAAAACAAUUUACACAUAAACAUAAUACAUAUGACAUUGCAAUGGUCCUUAAUACCAAAAUGAAGAUCGAUGUGGUUCCAUCAUAUUGUUAUUGUUAGAUGAAGGGAGCCCAUCUUGUUGAAGACAAUAUUCAUACCAGGACAUGGAGUUUCGAUAGUAUUGAUUGUAUGUACGAACAUGCCAUGCAUAAAUUUCUUGAGUCUACCAACAACUUGUCCAUGGAUAGGAAAUCCAAGGUUUUCCCAUGUGCUCGUUUGAAAUCCUUGUUGUUGCAACUGAUGUGGAAGGUAGUAUGGCAUUUGUGUGGAAGAAGGAUAGUUAUACCUUUCAUACUCUUCAUCAGUGGAACUUGAAAGAUUUUGAGGAGGCUGACCAUAACUCAUUGCAUAAGGGGCAUAAAUGUUGGCUUCGUUUGAUGAAUCACUGAAUUGAGUCUCUACACUCAUCGACUCAAAACUGGCCGACAAUGAGUCCUCGUUGUACAACAUCAUCCUUCGUUGUCUUCCUCUAUAUGGCUUUCCAAUGGCUCCAACACCUGGACCGGCUCUUCUAGAGCCGUGGUCUUCAUCUUGAGUACAAUGUGUGAAAUCAUCUUCACAAGUAAAUGCCAAUGGUUGUCCACUUUGUUGUUGUUGUCUAACAUCCCCUUCAUCAUUUCCAAGGUCGCUACCAUCAUUGGUCCCCUCUUCUCUUGAACCAUCAUAACCGGAAGCGGAGGCGAAAGUACCAGUAGCACUAGGUCUACUACUAUGUUCAACACUCGUGGAGUCAAAAGAAGGUCGAGAAGUGACUGCCGGCUGAGAAAUUCCUUGUCAAAAUGAAUAUCUCGUGUCUUGGCUGAAACUAUCAGUAUGAACUUCUUCGGAUAACACUCAAUCAACAUCAACACCUGCUUCUCGGACAUGUGCGGCAAUUCGUGGGUCGGGAUUUCCAUCUUCAUCAUCUAAAUGAAGAGGUCUAACCCAUUGAAACAAUUGGUUAUCUUCUUCUUCACCAACCUCAGUUGCAAUGUCAAGUAAAUCGAGGUAAUCUUUCUCUGCAACUUUGUCAUGUUCUGCUUCCAUGUCACGUAUCUUUAGUUUCAUGUUAUAAUAAUAGAAAACUAAUUGUUGGAGCAUCGGGUAAGCAAGCCGAUUUCUUUGUUUUGUAUGAAUUAAGGCAAACGUGCUCCAAUUUCUCUCACAAGCUGAAGAUGAUGCAGUUUGCGAUAAAGCCUUGAUGGCCAACCUUCUUAAUGUAGGAGUGUGAUUUCCAUACAUGAACCACCAUUCAGCUACAACCAAAUAAAUGAUAUCAAUACUUAUAUUGGAAAGUUACAAUAAUAUGCUAAUGAAAUGAAUUAUUAAUUCACAAAUAAUACUCACCGGGAACCAUUUCUGACCUCGAAGCAAUCGCUGCUCGAUCACCGAAUCCUCUUUUUGCAUCUCGAAAUAGUAUAAUCUACAUAUUAAAUAAUUGAAAGUGAAAAAGUUGAGUAAAUGAAAUUCAAUUAUUUAAUUUAUAUUAUAACUCUAAUAAUUUACCUCAUUUCCAAAUUGACUAAGACCUUCUGAUGUAGGAUCUAAUUUCGCAAAGACUUCAUGAACAGCUUGAAGUAGAUCAGGAUCAGUACCAACUCCACGUUUAUAUUGAAAUCUUGGAUUAAGAAAGAAUGCUACAAUAGUAAAGUAGAAAUGUAAAAUUAGAAUGUUAUGAAAGAAACAUAUUAAAUACCUAUAAAUUUCAAAGAUGAAUAAUACUUACCUGCUGCAUGAAGAGGAUGUUUAAGAGUUCUAUCCCAACGAUCUGCAAUUAUUUCUAACACCCAUUCUUUAGCAUUAAGUCGAAUGAGGUUCUCUUUCAUAACUCGAAUCAAUUCAUACACAAAUGGCAUUGUAGGAACAACUUCUGAAUCGACAAUGCGAAGAACUGUGUAUAACGCCUCAUAUAUUGACACUCACUUUCCCACUCUUUCCCAGUACGCAUGGUCAAACAUAAGUGAUUCAACUUCUUUGCCGAUUAAUGUGCGACUUAAGUUGUGUUGUGCCCAUUCAUCACUGAUAAACACUUUCUUCAAGUUUGCUUUCUUUUUCAAAAGACUGUCGAGGGCUAUAUAAUUGGUUGCAAAUAUUGUUGCUCCAGGACGAACUAUGUCUCCACCACACACCUUCCGCAUCUGUGCAAGCAACCAACCAUGGUUAUAAAUGAAGUUGGUUAUCUUUCGAGCCUUUGUAAUCACAUCUGCAACACUCGUCCUUUUACCGAUGUCUUCGAACAUUAAGUCGAUGCAAUGUGCUGCACACGGAGUCCAAUAAAGAUUGUAUUUUUUCAUUAACAACUUCCCCGCCUUCACAAAUGCCGACCCAUUAUCUGUAACUAUUUGGACCACAUUUUGUUUGCCAACUUCCUUGAUUACAUCCUUCAACAAACCAUAUAUGUAUUUGUUGUCCUUUAUAUUAUUUGAUGCAUCAACAGAUUUGAGGAAGAUUGUGCUACCUUUUGAAUAUACCAUGAAAUUAAUUAUGCUUAAUUUCGUGGGUCCAGUCCAUCCGUCAGACAUAAUCGUGCAUCCAUAAGUCUUCCACUUUUCUCUUUGAAUAUUGACAUAAGCUUCCAUGUCUUUGUACUCCAUAUCCAAAUACUCGUGUUUGAUUUCAUAAGGAGGCGGUGGUUCUAUACCCAUACCUACCAUCCAUAUAUAAUUAAAACAUAUAAGAACAUUUGUGGCAAUCAUACUAUAUAAAUAGUAAUGAUAUUGUUAAAAUGAAUACAACUUUUAAAAUUAUAGUAAUUACCUGCUUGUUGUGCACCAAUAAUCAUGUUCUUGAAGUGGUGAGAGUCUGCUUUAUUGGGCGGAACACUCUCAUAUAUGAAGAACUUACUGAUCAAAAGUCCCAUGGUUUCCUUGAUGGCACCACAUUUGAAAAGAUUUUUCAUAGUUUUCUGUCUUGCCGCUGAAGAUUUGUACAAUGAGGGUGCAUCAGGCAGUGAUGGAUCUGAAUAUCGAACACUUUGCGAUUUUCGCAUUUGCCUUGUUGUUGGAUUGGUUGGAUGUGAAGACUCGCCUAUUAUAAUUAUUAAAAUUAAACAUAUAUGCUAAUUUAAUAUUAUUGAUAAAGUUGAUAAGAAAUAGUAAUAAUUCAAAUUAAUAUUAUACUUGUUUUUCUUUUGCUUUUUAUAAAAUGUUCUUCUUGUUGUCGAUUCCAUUCAGCAGCUUUUGAUGCUUGAACCGCCUCUCUAUAAGCAUGUCGCUCAUCAGGGUGCAUGUCAGCCGGAUACAUAUACACAUCAUCAUCUCCAUCAUCAUCAUCACCACCAAGGUUCUCCUCAUCGUCCUCAUCAAUUACAUGUCUAUGUCUUCUUCCCAUUGUGUCUCGCAGUUCUGAUCGAAUCUCUUCUAUAUCUGCAGCUUUCUUCGCUUUUGCCUUAUUUUUUUGCUCUAGAAGUCGUCUUAUUUCUUGUUUCACUUCUGGAGGCACGUUAAGACACUUUUUUGUAUUUGAAUUAGGGUCUGUAUGUGAUAGGUGAAAUUUAAAACAAGUAAUCCCACCACUCUUUAUUGCCAACCCACAGUAAUUGCAUAUUGUUCCAUUUUUGUUCCCUUCCAUAGGUGUACAAUAUUUCCAACAAGGAUCUCGACCCAUGAUACCACUUUCACUAGCCAUUUUCUAAAAUUGAAUUAUGAAACUAAUAUCAAAUUUAAAAUUAUUAAAGAUAAAACAUGUAUGAAAUUUAAUAUUCAUGAAAUUGAUAAGAACUAAUAAAAAUUGAAAUUAAAAUUGAAUUAUGCACAUAUGAAAUAGAUAAACAUUACAAUAAAAUUUCAAUAUGAAUUAAAUUUAAAUUAAAUUAAAUUUGCAUAUUCAUGAAAUUGAUAAGAAUCAUUACUAAUAAAAAUUAAAAUUAAAAUUGAAUUAUGCAUAUAUGAAAUAGAUAAACAUUACAAUAAAAUUUUGAUAAGAAUUAAAUUAAAUUAAAUUAAAUUAAAUUUGCAUAUUCAUGAAAUUGAUAAGAAUCAUUACUAAUAAAAAUUAAAAUUGAAUUAUGCAUAUAUGAAAUAGAUAAACAUUACAAUUACAUUUCCAUAUGAAUUAGAUAAUAUCAAUUAAACUAUAUAUAACAAAUAAAAUUGAAUUAUACAUAAUAAAAUAAAUUUUAUGGAAGGUAAGACAUACCUUAAUUAGCCUUGACUUGGAGUUAAUCCCCUUCACCACCAAAUUUUCAAAAUAAAAAAAUUUUGCUAGAUCAUAUAAGAAUUUUGAUGUAUGAAAUGGAAUGGAAUGUGGGUAUUUAUAGGAAUUUUUUGGUCAAACUAGCCAUUGGAUGGUCAAAUAGUCGUUAUAAAUUAAUUUUAACCGUUGGAUCAAAAUUUGGUUCAAAUUUCACCAUUAGAUUUUCAUAUAACCGUUGGAAACACUCCAUAGCCCUUGGAUAAAGUGAAGAUUGAUUUUCCACCAUUGGAUCACAAAUCUGACCGUUGGAGGCCUUUACAAAUACACGGGUGAAAUCUGGGCCAUCAGAUCCUCAAAAAUUCAAAAUUGGCCAUCAGAUCAAAAUCAUUGGAGCUGGGAAAAAUCGGCGAUUUUCUCGGUAAAAAAUCGGCGAUAUAUCGGUAAAAUCGUCGAUUAAUCGCUGAUUUUUUCAACUCCUCUGGCAGCUUCUCCGCGCGUGCCUCCACUCUUCGAUUUUUUGCCGAUUUAUCGGUGCUUCACCGAUAUUUCGCCAAUAUAUCGGCGAUUUUGCCAAUUUUUGGCCGAUUUUUCCAUCGAUCGAUAAUCGGUGACGAUUAUUGUUUCAGUGCCGCCCGAUAUCCGAUAUUUAUUCGAAAUAUCAACGAUAUAUCCCGAUUUUUCAAUCCCUGGGUGUAUCAACAAGUUGACAUCCCGACAUUCCAGUCUCCUAUAAAAGAUUUAAGGCAUACUUUCUUUGAGACAGAAAAAUUCAUUCACUUGAUUGAGAAACUUCAAUCCCAAGAAAGUAUUUCGGAGGACCUAGAUCUUUCAUUUCGAAUUCUCUAGAUAGAUAAUUCUGUAGAGCUUUUCUUUCUUCAGGAUCAUUUCCUGUAACUACCAUGUCAUCCACAUAUACGAUGAGUGUCGUAAUCUUACCAUGUUGCUUUUUCAGGAACAAAGUGUGAUUUGAAUUACUUUGAUGAUAGCUAAAAGCUCUCAUUGACUUUGUGAACCUUCCAAACCAUGCUCUCGGGGAUUGCUUCAACCCAUACAAUGAUUUCUUCAAUUUGCACACCUUCUGACAUUGCUUUUCUGACCCCAUGCAUCCUGAUGGAAGAUCCAUAUAUACUUCUUCAGAUAACUCGCCAUGUAGAAAGACAUUUUUUACAUCGAAUUGUUGUAAUGGUCAAUCCAGGUUUGCAGCUAAAAACAGUAAUACUCGAACUGUAUUGAUCUUAGCUACAGGUGCAAAUGUCUCUGUAUAGUCAAUUCCAUAAGUUUGAGUGUACCCUUUUGCUACCAAUCUUGCUUUAAAACGUUCAAUACUACCAUCUGCCUUGUACUUCACAGUAUAGAUCCAACAACACCCAACUGGCUUCUUUCCUGGUGGACAUUCUACGAGUUCCCAUGUUUCAUUCUUCUAUAAUGAUUUCAUAUCUUCAUUCAUGACUGCUUUCCACCUUGGAUUAGCUAAGGCUUCCUGCACACUGUUAGGAAUAGUUACAAUAGAUAAUUGAUUUACAAAUGACUUAUUUGAUUCAGACAAACAAUGGUUAGAUACAUAGUUGCUCAUGGGAUAUUUGACAUUGGUAGACAAUUUAGGUUCAUAUGUGGGUUUAGGAAUAUCUCUAUUAUGACGGUGUGGAAACCGUUUUGUGAAUGGAUUAGGUUCCAAAUUAAGAACACCCUCAACAGACGACGAUUGGUUUGGUAUUUCAGUGAAGGCAUCUUUAGACCCAAAUUGCUCGGAUGGUUCAAUUGUACUGUCUCUCCCCUCUUUUAUCACUUCUUCAGCUUCUGGGUGGUCAUUACUACCUGGUUCACCCGCUUCUUUAUUCACUAGUUUAGAUUGUCCAUAUUCAUCCUCCUUAGAGAUAUCAUAAUCGAGAGUCUGAAUUUCCUUAUAGUACUCCCCUUGAAGUUCAGACUCAAAUGAAAAAUACAUUGAAUCUUCAUGAAACACCACAUCCAUUGUAAUAAACAUUCGUCGAGUUGGAGGAUGAUAACAUCGAUAUCCCUUUUUGUGCAAUGCAUAUCCAACAAACACAUAUUGCAAUGCACGGGAAGUUAACUUGGUGCGUUGGUGUUUGUGUAGAUGCACAAAUGCCAUGCAACCAAAAACACGAGGAGGUAGAUUUGGGAUGGUUGGGGCAACUACAACAUUAGUAAGAGCUUGGAGAGGUGUUUGGAAGUCAAUUGAACUGGAAGGUACCCGAUUGAUCAAGUAUGUAGCAGAUAUGAUUGCUUCUCCCCAAUAAGAUAUCGACAUUUUUGCUGCUAUCAAGGAAGCAUGAACAACCUCUAACAAGUGCCGAUUUUUUCGUUCAACGACUCCAUUUUUCUGGGGUGUAUUGGAACAAGUAGUCUGAUGAAUGAUGUCAUGUCCUUCCAAAUACUUUUGAAGAUCAGAAUUAUGAUAUUCUCCACCAUAUCGCUACGCAGAACCCGAACCUUUGCAUUGUAUUGAGUUUCAAUCAUUUUAUGAAAAUUUUGAAACAACAAGUUCACUUCAUCUUUGGUCUUCAUCAAGCAUAACCAGGUCAUUCUGGUACAAUCAUCAAUAAAAGUAACAAACCAACGCGAGCCUCUCAAAGUUGGGACUUUGGAUGGGCCCCAAACAUCAUAAUGUAUAACCAUAAAAGGAAGCGGACUUUUAUUCAAAAUUAACGGAAACGAAGUACGAUGACUUUUAGCCAAUUCAAAAAUAUCUCAACGAAAACCAGAAAUAUCACUCAUUGCAAACAAAUUAGGAAACAAUUUUUUAAAAUAGCCAAAGGAAGCAUGUCCCAAGCGUCGAUGGCACAACCAAAUUUCAGACUUUUUCUCCUCCCCCUCAAAUCCAUCUAUCAUCAAGGCUUGUCGUAAUUUAUUGGAAUCCUUUGACUGCAAGUCCAAGUAAUAGAGUUUUUCCACUUAAUACCACAACCAAUCGUCUGUCUUGUUUGGAUGUCCUUAAAAACACAAAAUUCAGGCCAAAAAAUGACAAUACAAGAUAAUGCUGCAGUGAUUUGAGAAAUUGACAAAAAAUUGUAAUCUAAAGAUGGAACAACUAAAAUAGAAUCCAAAUUCAAAGUAUCAGUAAGAGUUAAGGAUCCUUCCCCAAUGACUGGGGUUGUGUUACCAUUGGCUGUGGAAAUAAUUUUUUGUGAGGAAGGUAUAAGGGGUGAGACCUGUCUAGAAUCAAAAGUCAUAUGAUCUGUAGCACCAGAAUUAAUUAUCCAUGCACUAUUAAUAACAGGUGUAGAAGUAUUCAAAAACUUACCAUCAUAAUCUAUAUUGGCUACCAAUGCAGAGACAUUCUCAGUAACAUUAGCCUCUGUUUUUAUUUCGGCAAUAGCUGCAGUCGAGGUUUUCUUGGAAUUCUUCUUCCGUUGAUCACGAUUAUGAUCCCACCAGUCUGGAUAUCCCACAAUUUCAAAGCAACAACUCUUGGUAUGACCAGUCUUAUUGCAGUGAGUGCAUUUGAAGGUUGACUUAUCAAUAUUAGGGCCCGUCUUAGGAUGGUUGGUCUUGGAUUGGUCCUGCCAAUUCUGGGUUGAUCGCUGUCGGACUACCAUAGAUGAGGUGUCAGGAUUGUCAUAUUAUGUUUUCAUACUAGCAUGACGCACUGCCUCUCGUCGAAUCAGUGCAUAGCAUUCUUCCAAAUUGGGAAGAAGAUCUUUGCGUAGAAUCUCUCCUCGAACUUGCUCAAAGUCACCAUCCAAUCCAGCAAGAAAGAUGUGCACCCAUUGUUGUUCAAUGGAUUUCCGAUAUGUUGUAAUGUCAUCAGGGUCUUUCAUGACCACCUUAUCCCGAUGAUCCAAUUCGCAAAAAAUCUCAGUUAACUCUCCGUAAUAUUCAGAAAGAGACCUGCCGCUUUGUUUGGAAGUGAAUACUUUUUUUAUUCAAAGUGAAAACUUGUAAUUCAUCGCUUCCAUCAUAGAAGACAUUUGAUAAUGCACUCCAAAUUUCUUGAGCGGUGGGUAAGCGUAAGUAACACUUCAUAAUUUCUUGACUCAUGGACAUUAACAACCAUUUCUUCACCUUUUGAUUCUCAGCAUACCAUUUUUCAUAUCUAUCUUCUGACUCUUUUGGUGGAUUUGUUUUACCUCGAAUGUAGGAAAGUUUUUCCCGUUCAACAAUAUGCAUCUUCAUAAGUUGUGACCAAACGUCAUAGUUUGAUUCAAUCAAAAUAAUUCCUAGAUUAAAAGUACCUUCAGAUUGAAAAAUAAUAGUAUUUUUUUCACUUUUUUUUUUUUUUUGAUGAUUAAAUAUAAUAUAUAUUCAACUGGUGAUGUAGGAAGAAAGUGACAAAAAAUAGGGGACCCUAAAUAGAAAGAAAGAUUUUUCAAGAAAAUCAAAUAAUAGAGAAAAAAAUAGUAGAAGACACUGAAAGUACAAAUAAGCAUGCCAGGUUGUAGGACAAUGUCAGUUUUCCGGCAACUGUCCAAGAUUUCAGUUCCAUGGCUUUGAUACCAUCUUCAAAUUAAUGAAUGAGGUUUUUUUUUUUCUCAUUCAUAUUUUUAUUCAUUCAUGUACAGAGUAUAUAUAAAGGGUAAUCAUCAUUCUAAGAAUGGGAAAAAAUGAUACAAGGAAUGAAUGAUAUAAGGAAACAAUGAUACAAGGAAAGGAAUGACAUAAGGAAAGAAUGAUACAAGGAAAGUAUUCCUAAUAUCUCAACAACUGGUAUAUCACUUUUGACGAUAAAAGGAAUUUUAGUUAAAAGUGAGGUUAAUUGCUCUAUUGUAAUGAUAUGAUAUAAAAUGUCUCUUUGAUGGAAAAAAUUGAAAAUUGAGUUCAUAGAAUUUAGUCUGAAAAUUAUUGAAAAAUGUCUCAAAUUCUUAAUUAAUAAAAAUUUAUUUUUACACAGAAUAUUAUAUAAAAUAUUUUCUAAAUUAAUACAUCAUUGUAAUAUUAUAUUAUUUUAUAGAAUAAACAAAGUUAUUAGAAAUAUCUUAAUAAAUAUUUUAGGUUAAGAAAAGAAAAAGUUAAUAAGAUAAAUAUGAGCUUUUAGAGACUACACAUUGUUUUAUCUUAGUAUCGGAAGGCCAGGUUGCGGAGAAGUUGAACAUGGAUAAAGCAUAUGGGCUGGCCUUACAAUGAGCCGCCCCACUAAUGGUGCACCCACAGCCGAGGCUGUCACCCCAAGGUUUCGGGAAGUAAAUGAGGUUGUUUUCCCAUGAUUAAAACAGAAAACUUGAUGAUGGAUUUGGCUGAAUAAUUAUGACGUUGGAGAGCGAUGGAGUGUAGUAGUUUCGUGAUGGGUUUUCCCUCAGCCACGUGGACGUUAAUAUUGUAAACGUUGACUCUGAAGGAGCUAUCUAAUAAUGCAAUAUGUCGGAUUAAAAAUUAAAUUAUUUACCCCACAAUAUGAAUGUCGAGCGUAGGAGAAGAAAGUCAUAUGAUGAAUAUGAAGGCAUCACAAUCUAAAGAGUCGUGCAAUGCGGCGAGUGAAUAUGACCAAUAAAAGCACGAAAACUGAACGGGAGUCGCUUCAUCUGUCCUGCAUUCAUUUACAUUCUUUGCCCCAUUGGUUAAGAAUCCGUCCUGUUCUAGGAAAAUUUUUCCCAUCAUUUCGAAUGUCUUCCCAUUUAAAUAUGAAAUUUUGAAUGGUCGUGUAUGAUUUUUUUCUUACUAGCCAUUAUUUUGAGAAUAAUACAAGUUUGACCAACACAACUAUGUCUUUUUUCCUCAUAAUAAAUUUCCAAUCUUGAUUCAUUAUAAUUUUUUAAUGAAAUAAUUCAAAAAAACUACAUACAAGUUGUUAUACAUCUUGCUCAUGUGUGUAAAAGGAAAGAGAUACAUCCUUGUUUUUCAACUAUUAAAAUGAUAUCCUUGGGCCAAUUCUUUCAUUACGUCUGAAUAUUUUGGGAGAAUUGUGGAACCAUUUUGAGACAGUGAAUUUAAAUAGCAUUUUUAAUAUUUUAAAAAAUUAUUAUUAAAAACGUUUUUUAAUAUCCAUUUUUUCAACAUCAGGACCAAGAACGCAAAAUAAAAUAUAAUUUUCCCUACUUGCUACCAAAGAUUUUGGUUGAUUAUUUUUCUGAUAAUAAAUAAUAUUUUAUUUUGCGUUCUUGGUCAAAAAAUGGAUAUUAAAAUAUAUAUAAUUUUUCAGCUACAACAGCGCGCACGGAGCACGCUCUUAGUUAGAACACACUUGUACCCGUCAUCUUUGAUUUAGCUAACCCCGAAUCUCCCUUUAUAUUCCUCUCUGGAUUCAGGAGCCGAGACUCAGAGAUAAGCCAAGAAGCCAUGAAUCCCCUGGCGCUGAUUUUCUGCACGGCUCUCUUCUGCAUUCUCCUCUACCACUUCCUCACGCGCCGCUCUGUCCGCCUCCCUCCGGGGCCCAAGCCAUGGCCGAUUGUGGGGAACCUCCCUCACCUGGGCCCCGUCCCUCACCACUCCAUUGCUGCGCUCGCUAAAACCUACGGCCCUCUCAUGCAUCUCCGUAUGGGCUUCGUCGACGUCGUGGUGGCCGCCUCCGCCUCCGUUGCCGCUCAGUUCUUGAAAACUCAUGAUGCUAAUUUCUCCAACAGGCCUCCUAAUUCAGGUGCCAAGCAUAUCGCCUACAACUAUCAGGAUCUGGUGUUCGCUCCCUACGGCCCCCGGUGGCGCAUGCUCCGCAAGAUUUGCUCCGUCCACCUCUUCUCUGGCCAAGCCUUGGAUGAUUUUCGCCAUAUCCGACAGGUACCUAGCUUAAUCUCUCUCAGAAAUGAAUCCUUUCUCAAUUUUAAUCCAUUUUUCGUUUUUUCUUCCUGAUCGCUUCUAUUAUUUCAUCGCAAAUUAAGAUCUGGUUACACAGAUUUCAUUUUUCCAUAAAAACAUGUAAGAAAAUAAUAGCAUGUGUUCACCAUCAUUGUCUAGUCCUGUCAGAGUAUUUGCAGUCUCCACUCUCUCUGUAUACACUACACAUCUUUUUGAAGAAGGCCCGGCUCCACAAGUUUAUUAUUACUAUUUUUUUAAUGAUUUUUUUUAGUAAGGUUGUUUUCCUCCGGCAGUGGAAGUCCGUGCAUUCACGCGAGACUUUACCAUUUAAUAUUUAAAAUUAUAUUUUUUUAAUGUUUGUUUUAUAAAAAUACUGAACUGACAAAUGAGUUGCCGCUGAGUUUUAUCCAAUUUUGAUGAUUAGAAAAAUAAUCAGUAGAUGAAAAUUUAUGUGACGUACAGGAGGAGGUUUUGGCGCUAAUGCGCGCACUUGCGAGGGCGGGUCAAACGCCGGUGAAGUUGGGGCAGCUGCUGAACGUGUGCACUACCAACGCCCUAGGGCGGGUGAUGUUAGGCAGGAGAGUGUUCGGCGACGGCAGCGGAGGCGAAGAUCCGAAGGCCGACGAGUUCAAAGAGAUGGUGGUGGAGCUGAUGGUCCUGGCCGGAGUUUUCAACAUCGGCGACUUUGUGCCGGCGCUGGAAUGGCUGGACCUGCAGGGCGUAGCUUCCAAGAUGAAGAAGCUCCAUGCUCGGUUUGACGCUUUCCUGGGCGCCAUCGUGGAGGAGCACAAGAUCAGCGGCUCUGCUGGUUCCGAGCGUCACGUGGACUUACUCAGCACGUUGAUCUCGCUGAAGGAUAAUGCCGACGGUGAGGGAGGCAAGCUCACCGACGUUGAGAUCAAAGCCUUGCUCUUGGUAUCUCUCAUUAUCCAUUUUCUGUCACUGUUUCGUCUACUUCUUGUGGUAAUUUGGCACCUGAAAUUGAUGAAAACCGUCUGUUGACAUGGCAGAACUUGUUCACAGCUGGAACUGACACCUCAUCCAGCACAGUGGAGUGGGCCAUUGCAGAGCUCAUUCGCCACCCUGAAAUGAUGGCCCAAGCCCAACAAGAGCUGGACGCAGUGGUGGGCCGAGGCAGGCUUGUAACUGAUUUGGACCUGCCCAAACUUACCUAUCUCCAAGCCAUAGUCAAGGAAACCUUCCGCCUGCACCCAUCCACGCCCCUCUCCCUCCCUCGGAUGGCGGCGGAGAGCUGUGAGAUCAACGGCUACCACAUCCCCAAAAACGCCACUCUUCUAGUGAACGUGUGGGCCAUAGCGCGGGACCCAGAGGUGUGGGAGGAGCCACUAGAAUUCAGGCCCAACAGGUUCCUCCCAGGAGGGGAAAGACCAAAUGCGGACGUGAGAGGGAAUGAUUUUGAAGUGAUUCCAUUCGGGGCUGGCCGGAGAAUAUGCGCGGGGAUGAGCUUGGGACUGAGGAUGGUGCACCUGUUAACCGCGACGCUUGUUCAUGCGUUCAACUGGGAGUUGCCGGAAGGCCAGGUGGCGGAGAAGCUGAACAUGGAUGAGGCAUAUGGGCUGACCCUACAACGAGCCGCCCCACUCAUGGUGCACCCACGGCCAAGGCUGUCACCCCAAGUUUUCGGGAAGUAAAUGAGGUUGUUUGCCCAUAAUUAAAGUAGAAGACUUGGUGAUGGAUUUGGCUGAAUAAUUAU
rnacentral:lncRNA from 1 species